AGCAGUUAAGCACUCAGCUUCUAACUGAAAGGUUGGUGGUUCGAAUCCACCAGCAGCUC
rnacentral:tRNA from 1 species